AAAAAAAAGAGAAGAGAAAAGAAAGGGAAGUGAAAACAGACGCAAAAGCAGGGGAAUUGGGGAAAACAUGGAGAACUAGGGUUUGUGUGCAAGAAAAGGAAAAGGAAAAAGAGAGAAACGGGACAAAGAGAUAAACGAGAAUUGGGGACGGGGGUUGAGAAGAAUAGAAAACAGAAGGGAAAGGGGGUUAGGAAUGAUUUAGUCGGCGAUUGCAAGCGAUUGGCGGAGAACCGAGCUAGACGUGCGUAUCGAGGACGUUAAUAAGUAGUUGAAUUGCAAACCAAGUCGAAUCAGGAAUGAUCUGAUAAUACGAAGCUAUGUCGUGGGCGGAAUCUUGUCAAAAGCAAAGUGAGAAUAAACGGUAUAGUAAAUGCUCUACUAGGUGACAGGAAAAUAGGUUCUUUGAACAAGAAGGAAAGCGAAUAAGCUAGAUACAAAGAUGGUUCGCCUGUUUGGGUUGCGCUUAAGAAUAACGCUAGACAAGGAUUCCAAGUGAGUAUGUCAGACCUCGAUGGUCAGGAUAAGUAUUUUGGAAGAUGUCAAGGGAACUAGUUGUGAUUAAGAUGGUAUAAUUUUGAUUCAGAUGUAAAGCAGAUUUAAGUUUUGGUUAUCAGUUAUCCUUCUUGUCGAAGUUUAUCUGGUAAUGUAGAAUAUGUUGUAAUAAGAUUUAUAUUUUCGAUUUUCUGAUUUCAAUACUAUAGCCUGUAUGCGAUCCUGUUUUCAGGGGGUGAAAUUGAAUUUUACUUUAAAUCA